rnacentral:rRNA from 1 species
GCGGUAAUACGGAGGGUGCGAGCGUUAAUCGGAAUUACUGGGCGUAAAGCGCAUGCAGGCGGUUUGUUAAGUCAGAUGUGAAAGCCCGGGGCUCAACCUCGGAACCGCAUUUGAAACUGGCAGGCUAGAGUCUUGUAGAGGGGGGUAGAAUUUCAGGUGUAGCGGUGAAAUGCGUAGAGAUCUGAAGGAAUACCAGUGGCGAAGGCGGCCCCCUGGACAAAGACUGACGCUCAGAUGCGAAAGCGUGGGUAGCAAACAGGAUUAGAUACCCUGGUAGUCCACGCCGUAAACGCUGUCUACUUGGAGGUUGAGGUUUUAGACUUUGGCUUUCGGCGCUAACGCAUUAAGUAGACCGCCUGGGGAGUACGGCCGCAAGGUUAAAACUCAAAUGAAUUGACGGGGGCCCGCACAAGCGGUGGAGCAUGUGGUUUAAUUCGAUGCAACGCGAAGAACCUUACCUACUCUUGACAUCCAGCGAAGCCUUUAGAGAUAGAGGCGUGCCUUCGGGAGCGCUGAGACAGGUGCUGCAUGGCUGUCGUCAGCUCGUGUUGUGAAAUGUUGGGUUAAGUCCCGCAACGAGCGCAACCCUUAUCCUUGUUUGCCAGCACAUAAUGGUGGGAACUCCAGGGAGACUGCCGGUGAUAAACCGGAGGAAGGUGGGGACGACGUCAAGUCAUCAUGGCCCUUACGAGUAGGGCUACACACGUGCUACAAUGGCAGAUACAGAGGGCAGCGAGACAGCGAUGUUUAGCGAAUCCCUUAAAGUUUGUCGUAGUCCGGAUUGGAGUCUGCAACUCGACUCCAUGAAGUCGGAAUCGCUAGUAAUCGUGGAUCAGAAUGCCACGGUGAAUACGUUCCCGGGCCUUGUACACACCGCCCGUCACACCAUGGGAGUGGGCUGCACCAGAAGUAGAUAGCUUAACCUUCGGGAGGGC